rnacentral:lncRNA from 1 species
CAGGGGUGUGGACGGUGCCACACCUCAAUCCUCACAGCCUCUGUCUCCCACUGCCCAGGCUGGCGAAGAAGUCCUGGUUUGGGAACUUCAUCAGCCUGGAGAAGGAGGAGCAGAUCUUCGUGGUCAUCAAAGACAAACCUCUGAGCUCCAUCAAGGCUGACAUCGUGCACGCCUUCCUGUCGAUUCCCAGUCUCAGCCACAGCGUCAUCUCCCAAACGAGCUUCCGGGCCGAGUACAAGGCCACGGGGGGGCCAGCCGUGUUCCAGAAGCCGGUCAAGUUCCAGGUUGAUAUCACCUACACGGAGGGUGGGGAGGCGCAGAAGGAGAACGGCAUCUACUCCGUCACCUUCACCCUGCUCUCAGGCCCCAGCCGUCGCUUCAAGAGGGUGGUGGAGACCAUCCAGGCCCAGCUGCUGAGCACACACGACCCGCCUGCGGCCCAGCACUUGUCAGACACCACUAACUGUAUGGAAAUGAUGACGGGGCGGCUUUCCAAAUGUGGUAAGAAUCCCCCACGCUCACCUGGCACCUCCACCUGCCACUUCACCGCUCACCCUCAGCCCGCUGUGGCCGCCACCUGCCGCCCGGGUUGUCCCGGCCUCCCUGUGUAGAUGUAGGCACCCAGCAGCCCAGAUGUCCCCGGCCCCAUCCUCUACCAGGAGCAGCCCAGGUCGCUCCCCUACCACAGCAAGCCCAGGCGGGGUUCCUG